rnacentral:sRNA from 1 species
GCUGGGCACAGUGGUGUGUGCCUGUAAUCCCAGUGGCUCGGGAGGCUGAAACAGGAGGAUCGCAAGUUCAAAGGCAGCCUCAGUAAUGGUGCAGUGCUAAGUAACUCAGAGAGACCAUGUCUCUA